GUUAGAGCUGUAGCUCCCUGUAGUUCUCAUCUGGUAUUCCAUGGAAGCUAAGCAGGGUUGAAGAUGGCCAGUACCUAGAUGGGAGCCCUCUUGGGAAGAACUAAGGUUGCUACUG
rnacentral:rRNA from 1 species